rnacentral:rRNA from 1 species
UACAGAGGUCUCGAGCGUUGUUCGGAUUCAUUGGGCGUAAAGGGUGCGUAGGUGGCGCUGUAAGUCGGGUGUGAAAUCCUGAGGCUUAACCUCGGAACUGCAUUCGAUACUGCGGCGCUUGAGGACUGGAGAGGAGACUGGAAUUCAUGGUGUAGUGGUGAAAUACGUAGAGAUCGGAAGGAACAUCAGUGGCGAAGGCGACUGUCUGGACAGAUACUGACGCUGAGGCGCGAAAGCGUGGGGAGCAAACAGG